AUCCUUUUUUCUUCCUUGCAUAAACAAAAUGUGCACACAGAUACCUAAAGCCUAAAGGAAUGUUUAGGCUACUAGACUGAGGAGACAUGUUCACUAAUUAUAUUCAACAAAGCACAAAAUCAAUAUAAUAAAAUAUAACUAAAGAAAGCGAAGCUAGAUAUGAUUCGAAGAUGUCUCACAAAGUCAUAUAUAAACAGAUCGAUACAUCAAUGAAGACAUAAAUAUAUUCGUAUCUAACAUUGAUUCACAAACAGAUCUCGAAUCAUUUCAUGACUUUUUUUUUGUUGUACGAAUAAAUAAAUAUAUUCUCUGGCUUCACAGUAAAUGUAUUAGCCUCUCCCACGUACAUGG